rnacentral:rRNA from 1 species
GAAGGUGCAUUGUAAAGUGUGCUGGAGGUAUCAGAAGUGCGAAUGCUGACAUGAGUAACGACAAAGGGAGUGAAAAACUCCCUCGCCGGAAGACCAAGGGUUCCUGUCCAACGUUAAUCGGGGCAGGGUGAGUCGACCCCUAAGGCGAGGCCGAAAGGCGUAGUCGAUGGGAAACGGGUUAAUAUUCCCGUACUUCUUACUAUUGCGAUGGGGGGACGGAGAAGGCUAGGUGAGCCUGGCGACGGUUGUCCAGGUCCAAGUACGUAGGUGGAUGAAUUAGGCAAAUCCGGUUCAUCAUUAACACUGAGAUACGAUGUCGAGCUACUACGGUAGCGAAGUCAUUGAUGCCAUGCUUCCGGGAAAAGCCUCUAAGCUUCAGAUAGUAAGAAAUCGUACCCCAAACCGACACAGGUGGUCGGGUAGAGAAUACCAAGGCGCUUGAGAGAACUCGGGUGAAGGAACUAGGCAAAAUGGUACCGUAACUUCGGGAGAAGGUACGCUCUUAACGGUGAAGUCCCUCGCGGAUGGAGCUGUCGAGAGUCGCAGAUACCAGGUGGCUGCAACUGUUUAUUAAAAACACAGCACUGUGCAAAAUCGAAAGAUGACGUAUACGGUGUGACGCCUGCCCGGUGCCGGAAGGUUAAUUGAUGGGGUUAGACGUAAGUCGAAGCUCUUGAUCGAAGCCCCGGUAAACGGCGG